UGGGGGAUAUUGCACAAUGGGCGAAAGCCUGAUGCAGCGACGCCGCGUGGGGGAUGAAGGCUUUCGGGUUGUAAACCUCUUUCGCUAUCGAACAAGGCCCGCUUAGGGUGGGUUGAGGGUAGGUGGAGAAGAAGCGCCGGCUAACUACGUGCCAGCAGCCGCGGUAAUACGUAGGGCGCGAGCGUUGUCCGGAAUUAUUGGGCGUAAAGGGCUUGUAGGCGUCUUGUUGCGCCUGCUGUGAAAACGCGGGGCUUAACUUCGCGCGUGCAGUGGGUACGGGCAAGCUUGAGUGUGGUAGGGGUGACUGGAAUUCCAGGUGUAGCGGUGGAAUGCGCAGAUAUCAGGAGGAACACCGAUGGCGAAGGCAGGUCACUGGGCCAUUACUGACGCUGAGGAGCGAAAGCAUGGGUAGCGAACAGG
rnacentral:rRNA from 1 species